rnacentral:misc_RNA from 1 species
GUGCAGCAUUCCCAGUGGAAUUUCAGUAUGCAUCAUGUUCCACCUUCAAAAGCCCCGACAGCUCCUAGAGUUCUUCCACCUCCUCCACCACUAAGUCAAAUGCUUUAUAGAGGUUCUAUUCGUCAGCCAUCACCAGACAAUAUGCAAGUUUUUCUUCAUAAUCUUCCUCGACCGUCACCACCACCACCACCACCUAAUUUGCAGAACCAUGGUUUUUUCACACCUUCCCAAUUUGACCCCACCACACAUUCGAGAAACCAUGAUUCUCAUGUACAACCUGCAGUUUCUGGUCCUCGGCCACCUUUGCCACCUUCACCUCCUGGGGAUCCGCCUCUUCCACCAUCUUCACCACCUCUUAUAUCUACCACUGCAAAUGCUAAUAGUGCUAAAGAUGAGGGGUCGUCUGUGCUCGAUGGAGGGAUUGCUUACAGCGAAGGUAUACCAGUAAAUAAGAAUUUAGACUCGGAUCUUCCAUCUUCUCCUCAUAAGCCUGUAUCAUUAGCAUUUCCAGGAGAAGUCUCAUCAGUUCAACUUAUUAAUUCAAUAAACCCAGCUCCGUCUCAUUCAG